rnacentral:rRNA from 1 species
UACAGAGGGGGCAAGCGUUAUUCGGAAUUAUUGGGCGUAAAGGGCGCGUAGGCGGCCUGGCAAGUGGAAGGUGAAAUCCCUCGGCUUAACCGAGGAACUGCCUUCCAAACUGCUUGGCUUGAGUCCGGGAGAGGUGAGUGGAAUUCCCGGUGUAGCAGUGAAAUGCGUAGAGAUCGGGAGGAACAUCAGUUGCGAAGGCGGCUCUCUGGACCAGCACUGACACUGAGGCACGAAAGCGUGGGGAGCAAACAGG